ensembl:lincRNA
UCAUCUGUCAUUUCUGAUCACCACAUCAGUGCUGCAGCGGCAGAGGCUAGUCGAGUUGUGAAGCUAUCUGGCAGAACAAGACUCUUUCCUGUCCCUGGAAGUAUAGCCAUGCUGUUUGCUGUCCUGCUCCUGAUCGGUGAUCUCUGUGACAUUUGGAAAGUACCUACAGUCCAGGCGGAGCUACAGAGGCCCAACAUCUCCAUCAGCGGUCCUGUGGGAAGGGUGACCUGGGGGCAGAACUUUUCCAUCAGCUGCUCCGCGGUGCCCCAGCUCACAAACGGCACCUUCCGCCUCGUUCUGCCCGACGGAACCAGGACCACAUCUCAGCCAGCUGUCAACCACACGGCCAUCUUCCCCCGUCUUGCUGCGCGUCUCUCAGACCAGGGGAGCUACAGCUGCCUCUACGAGGUUGUUGGCAUUAAUCGCACCUUUAACGAAUCAAGCAGCCCGUUCAGUGUGAUGAUAAAAGAGUCAGUUCCUCUCAUCACUGUUGUGUCAACAGCAGGGGGUGCUGUGUUACUCAUCAUCCUGUGCAUCAUCAUCUUCAUAUCCUGUAAAAGGAAGAAGACCAGGGAGAGCCGCAGGAGUGAGCCAGCCAAGAUGACAGCGAGUGCCAGCCAGAGGCAAGACGACUUGGACUCCUGCGGGACUGGGCCAGACUACGAGAACCAGACGGCCGAGUACGACAGCGCCAGCUAUGUCAACAUGGAGUGUGCUGUUGAGAACGACAGCGACGCUGAUUACAUCAACACUGAGACCUUCGACCCGUCCCGGCCAGGGGCAGGAGACAGUGACAGCCAGCCCGAUUACGAGAACUUCUCUCAGGCUGGUGCUGGGCAGGGCACAAGUAGAAUGUGAGCAAAUCCAGGACCUUCUUCUGUAAAGGGGAGGCUAUUUUCACAGUGAGACAUCCGAGUUCAUCAUCUUGUCCCAUUGGCUUGUAGUGAAAGUGGGUUUAUAGACAGGGGCCUCAGCAUUUAGUUCUUGUUUGAUCGCUAUGGACAAUAGCAGAUGUCUGCAACAGAAAGAAAUAUUUUUAAAAAACUGUAACAAGCCGUUGUUCUACUCCUUUAAAAACGACUAAGCACGACAGACUAUGCACAGAACAAGCUAACUCUCUAAUAUCUCACUGAGCCAAGGGCGGAGCAUUUCUGAUCUCUCUGGAUCCUUGUAUAAGCUGUUACCUCCACACUGCUCAGUCAGGUUUACUGCAAUCAUAAACAAGGCUCUUAACUUUGUCUAAGCAAAACAGAUAUAGGUGACCUCAGUUAAUGUGGCACUUUAUGGCACACGGACGCAAGGUAUUCUGCUGUUACAAUAACAUACUGCUUUCAUCACAGUUGUUUAUGAAGAAGGACAUGAUGCUCAAGCCAGAUGCCCAGAAUGUGGUAAAACAGGAUGUACAGACAGCAUGAAGUUUAGUUCAGCAGUGCCUGGAAUGGAAUUUAAUUUGGGUAACAACUAGAAUAACCUUGAUAACAGAUCUGUAUUAAAGUUGCUAACUAAUGAAGGCAUGUUGAUACCUAAAAAAUAAUACUGUUUCCAACUUUUGUGAAAGAGUAUUGCACAUACAGUACAUGCUCGAUUAGUGGCACUACUAAGGAUGGACCCUCAAAGAUCUCCACAGCCUUUGAGAUGAAAACCAGCUUCCUCAUCACAGGCAUUAGGAAGAUCACGGAAGAAAUGUACAGUAUUUGCUCUCAUGAGCACUAUACAGUAAUAAUAUGGUUAUGUGGAAAUCAGAAUCACAUUUUUCUCUUAGAUUUUGAAUUUCUCCCGUUUCUGAAAAAAGAAUUAUU